ACAAUCUGCAGUCUCACCCACUAUACUGAGAGACUGAGAACAGCCUAAAUGUUUGAUAAGCUUACUCUUGCAGCGUAUUGUAAAGGAAACACCGUGCCAGAUCUUCCCUUCUUUGCCUUGUCUAGAUUUGGCCUCUUAAGGAUCCAUCAGAAUAACUUUUGCUGUUACAGUCACAACUGUUAACAACCAAGACACAUUUAUCAGGUCAUCAUUAGGGUAUCAGACACCGCACUAAGCACUUAAAAAAAAAAAAAAUAGAGACAGGGUAUCCCUGUGUUGCCCAGGUUGGUCUUGAGCUCCUGGGCUCAAGGGAUCCUCCUGCCUCGGCCUCCGAAAGUGCUAGAAUUACAGGCAUGAGCCACCCUACCCAGCCUGCACUAGGCACUUUUGAUUUAUUAGCUCAUUGAAUCCUUCCAACCAUCCUGUGAAUCAGGCAUCCCAAUUAGCCCCAUUUUAUAGAUGAAGAGACCGAGGCUCAGGGAAGUGAGGCCACCCAGCUGGUAAGAUGCGGAGGAGAAUUCAUGCCCAGCCUGUCUGACCUCAGAGCCCACACUCUUAGCUGCUAUAAUUUACUACUAUGGAUUUGGUGCAAACUCAUUCUGUGACCUUGAGCAAAUCUUUGAAUCUCUGGGGCUUCAGUUUCUUUUUCUAUAAAAAAAUAAAAAAAUACCGAGGGCAGUGGUUGGUUUAGAGUCAUUUUCAAUAAUUUCACAAAUUUCUGGAGGUCAUGCUUGAGAUUCGGGAUGGCAAAUCAUGUUUCAGCUUCGUUGUCAAAACUAAGUGAUUCGUACGGGCUGCUUGGAUCCCGGUGUUAGAAGGAUUCUGAACAUCUGCUCAGUGGGAAAGAGUGUUGCCAU
rnacentral:lncRNA from 1 species